AUGUUGACACAAUUUUUUACUAUUUUUCGAAAUACAUUCCAUCUUAUUUCCUUUAUAUUAUUUGCCAGUACUUUUAGUGUAGAGCACUUGAUCAUUUUGGUUCUCACUUCUCAGUACUUUCUAAGAUUUCUAGUUUUCUUCUUUUCUCAUCCCCUCUAUUGCUCAAUAUUACCAUGGCACAUGUUUUUGACAAAAUUUUACCACUGCCUUUGCUGCUCCGUUAUAUUUGUCAUUCUGUGGUGUACUAUCGAAUGCCAUCUUGUCUGUGCAUACUGUCUUCCAGGAAAGAUAACUAUUCUGUUGCAUCUUCUAUAUGAACACUGCUCUGUCAUUUGUCAACUGCUUGUCUGUUGCACUCGAUAA
rnacentral:rRNA from 1 species